GGAGGAAAAGAAACCAACAGGGAUUGCCCUAGUAACGGCGAGUGAACAGGCAAGAGCUCAGAUUUGAAAGGCACUUUUGUGCCGUUGUAUUCUGAAGUUAGGGUCCUGAGAAACGAUGCUUAAGUCUUCUGGAAAGGAGCGCCAUGGAGGGUGAUAGCCCCGUCUAGCAUUGACCUCAUAUAGGAUCUUAACAUGGAGUCGAGUUGUUUGGGAAUGCAGCUCAAAUGGGUGGUAUGCUCCAUCUAAAGCUAAAUAUCUGCGAGAGACCGAUAGUAAACAAGUACUGUGAGGGAAAGAUGAAAAGAACUUUGAAAAGAGAGUGAAAAAGUACGUGAAAUUGUUGAAAUGGAAGGGUAGGCCGCUAACCAUGUAGAGCCGUGUUUGGGGGGAAGAUAAAUGCUGUAGAAUGUAGCUCCUCGGAGUAUUAUAGAUGCAGUUCAUAUUCCCACCCGAGCGCGAGGAUCUCAGGUUCUACUAAAUGGUGGUCUACCACCCGUCUUG
rnacentral:rRNA from 1 species